rnacentral:rRNA from 1 species
GACGAACGCUGGCGGCGUGCUUAACACAUGCAAGUCGAACGCUGAAGCUUGGUGCUUGCACUUGGUGGAUUAGUGGCGAACGGGUGAGUAAUACGUGAGUAACCUGCCCUUGACUCUGGGAUAAGCUUGGGAAACUGGGUCUAAUACUGGAUAAGACAUGUCACCGCAUGGUGGUGUGUUGAAAGGGGUUUUCUGGUUUUGGUAGGGCUCACGGCCUACCAGCUUGUCGGUGGGGUAAUGGCGCACCAAGGCGACGACGGGUAGCCGGCCUGAGAGGGUGACCGGCCACACUGGGACUGAGACAAGGCCCAGACUCCUACGGGAGGCAGCAGUGGGGAAUAUUGCACAAUGGGCGGAAGCCUGAUGCAGCGACGCCGCGUGAGGGAUGACGGCCUUCGGGUUGUAAACCUCUUUCAGCACGGAAGAAGCGAAAGUGACGGUACGUGCAGAAGAAGCGCCGGCUAACUACGUG